rnacentral:tRNA from 1 species
GCACCUGCCGACGAGAUACGCCAGGCGCCUUCUAAGCGCUUGGCCGCAGGUUCGAGUCCUGCCGGGGGCG